ensembl:lncRNA
GAAUGGUGAAGCCGACCCUGCCGUGAAUGCCUGUGUUCGUGAGGACAGUCUUUAGCUUCUGAUCCCUUGAAGGUCAACACCAGAGUUGACCGCCAUCAAGUGGGUUCAGAGAGUGGAGGCUGGAGGGUGAUCUGAAGCAGUUCGUUGAGUCAUUUAACAAGCAUUUGUUGCCAGCUUUCUGAAAACAGCUUUCUAGCAGAAAGGAUAAUUAAGAAGCAGUGCGUGGUCUUUGUCUAAGAAAGACCAAAUGUUCUCCCACAAAAUAGCAUGAAAACAGCAAGCCUACCACCCGUCUUAUCUGAUACUUAUAAGAGGAGAGGAAUUAACUGUUUCAAAAGCUGACUUUAAUACAGAUUUCCCAGCUUUUCGGAUUUUUUUCAGCUGACCCGACUAUAUGGCGAAUGCAUCACAGCUGGUGCUGACAUAGAGCUAGGCAGCUAAUUUAAGGGAGGCACACUGGAGUUCCCUGGCUGCGAGGGCAAAAGAAAGCAAGUGGUGAAGGCCCGUGAUUCUCAUCUGACACUGAAUCAAGCUUUCCUGAGGGCAGAGCAUGCUUCUCCACCCUAUUGAUUUGGGGGCUUCAGAUGACUUGCUUUGACCAAUGGCAUGUGGGCAGAAGUGAUAGCAUGCCAGUUCCCAGAGGAGAACUGAAGAUCCAUUGCAAGUGUCCUCUUGUGCUCCUGUGCUGUGCAUGAGAAGAGCAUCACUCACAUAGCCACUCCAGAAUAAGAAUAUAGGUGCAGAAGACCUAACCCAACCCACAGUCUAGAGCCAAACCCAGCCAAAGAAUAAAAAUGCUCUAAACCCGCAAAGACAAAGGAUAAUAUUAAAAAAAAAAAAAAAAAAAAAGAAAAGAAGAGAAGAGAAAAAAUAGACAAGGUAGAUGAGAUUUACACAAAUUCUGGAAAGAUGGACAGUUUGUGCUGUCUUUGGAUGAGGGACAAAGUGUUUCAUUUGUAGUUUUAUGUAGGAUAAUUAGAUCACAUGGACUUUUAUUGAAUUGUACGUAAAGAUGAUGUGCGUCCAUGCAUGUGUUUGUGUGUGUGUGUAUUUGUGCUGGUUACCAAAGAAAUGGGUGUAGUGGAGAGCUUUAUUUUAUUUCAUUUUUUUGUUAUACUCAGAAUACCAUAACUCAAUAAAUAAUUGUGCAUAAUAAUAAUAAAACCCACAGAGAAUUAACAGUUGCAUCAUUAGACAUGUUACUUCUUUUCACAAUGAAAUCUUACUUGGUGAUAUUUUUCUAAAUUUCCCUGAGAGGCUAGAUGUUUAUAUAAAGUCAUGGCAAUGUUAAAGUGUAUAUUGUAUAUGAUGUAACAAAUGAGGCACUUAAUUUGAAUUUGUUUCCACAGAAUAAGCCAUUUGAUAUUUCUGUACUCUUUAUGGCAGAUUAGUUUUGCUUAUAGUAGAUUAUUACAUUCUUUCUGAGUCAUUAAGAGCUGUUACUGACGUGUACCAAACUGUGUUUUGAAGCAUUGCCAUUAUGUUUAAGCCAUAUAAUUUGUAGUUAAAACUAAAGGCAUGAAGCUUGUCAAAUACUGUUUUAUUUCAUAUUGAAAAAAGUAAGAAAAAUCUUCACUUCAAUGCUGAAUUAUUAUAAAGUAGAGCAAGCAGUGGAAAAAUUGCUAUUUAAAAAAGGAAAUGUUAUCUCAAUAUUUGCAAAGGCACUGUGGUAAAGUCUAUUAAUGCUUUUCUUUUCUGAUUAUUCUCUCCUUCCUGAGGACACAGGAAGAAUCUGGUCCCCAGGCCCCUUUGCGGUCAGGCAGGGCCAUGUGACUAUUUCUAGCCAGUGAAAUGUGAGUGAAACUGAUGCAUCUUGUUUCAGGCUGAAGCUUUUAAGAACAAGUAUGCCACUUCCAUUAUCUCCCUUCCUCUCUGGCAGUGACCACGAAGCUUGUUUAUUGAAAUGGCAGUACUCACAAAAUAAGCAGUCUGAGUGACCACAUGGAAAAAAGUAGCUCUGUAAAGACAUUUGACUGACAUCAGACUUUGUGCAUGUGAGAAAUAGAUUUUGUUGUUUAAGACGCUGUGGCUGUAACUAGUGACUAAAACAGUCAUGUAUUGUUAUGCAAAACCUGUGUCUAGAUUUUAACUUUAUUAAACAGAAACAUACUUAUUAGGACAGAGAGAGUCACUAUUUAAAGGCACCCGCAGGUAAAUAUUCUUUUAAUCAAAAAAUUGUUUAAAUGUGAAUAAACACCACUUGAUUUUUAACUGAUUAAUCAGAUCAUAAAGUUACAUGAUUAAAAAAUUAAGAGGUUGUGGGUGUGAACUUUACUCUUUGUUUUGUUCAAUAAUAGAACUCUGUCAUGUGCGUGUGUGUAUAUGUGUGUGUGUGUGUGUGUGUAGAGAGAGGCAAAUACUUAUAUGUAGUCAGAUAUUUUGAGCCAUUAAAUUGGACCAUAUGUGUGAGAACAAUUUGUAAGCUGAAAAGAAUCAUAAGAUACAAAGAAAUCAGCAGCACCAUUAUCAUCACCAUUAAAAUCUGGCUUCAUUAAGAGUCUCCGGGCUGGCCACGCACUUAGGAGGGGUCUACUCUGUUAUUCUAUUGGAUGAUUUAAUACGCUGGUAAUUCAGUCAAUUAACCGUAGUUGCUUGAACUACCUGGCACUGAGCAACCUAUUUAACAAAUGUGCAUGUUAAUUGACAGUUCAUUACUUUAACUGAUAGAGUAAGCUAUUUUGGUUUCACAUAGAUAUAGUUUUAGACAGUUACAAAUUAUUAUCUAAGAAGCUGAGCCCAUAUUCUAAACGCCAAGUCGGGCACUCCAAAGGUACCAUAGAGACUGGCAGUCGUUCUGCACAGAGGCAUGUGUUGUGUGUGUGUGGGUAUGUGUGUGUGUGUGAGCCUGUGUGUAUGUGUGUGUUCUCCCCCCAGUUUUUCAUAUAGCAUUUUUAAACAUUCUGACAUUAUUCUAAUCUCACUACUGUGACAGCAACUUCAAAACUAAGCAAUUUAACAAAUUUUACAGAAGCAAAAAGUACUAAAUCUAUGGCAUGGAUUCUGGCCUUCUGAGUUCAAGGCCAGAACAUUGUCCAUCAGACCACAGCUUCCUUUAGAGAAAAUAAAAAAACUAAAAACACCUCAAGGUUGUCAGCCAUUUUUUAAAAAUGUUACAUUUUGCUCUUUAACUUACCUGGAAUUAAUUAUUACGCUUAAUGUGUGAGAUAAAUCUAAAUUCAUAUUUUCUGUACGUUGUAAUAUACAGUCUUGAUUUUAUUUACAUAAAAACAUACAUUACUUUUCUGUCUUUUUAGAUUUCAAAACGCAUUUUCAAUCAGAUGGAAACAAAAGUUAAUUACAGGCAUUCACUAAUAAAUGUUACUAUAAUGGGAUGCUAACAUCAGGGUUCCUUGUAUUUCUUCUCUAUUUACUCCUAUGCCCCUAAUGUUAUCCUUGUCCUGAACUUCUUGCAGUUGAGGAAGCGCAUUUAUCUCCACAAUCCAUUGUUCAAAUUUGCAAUAAAUUCUUCAAAUCUUAAAGAAGCAACUGAAGAACAUGGAUUUUAGACUUAAGAUUUGAAUGCUAGUUUUACCAUUAAUUAGCUAAAUGAUCUUGGACAUGUUUCUUAACCAGGUUGAUCCUCAGUUUCCUCAUUUCUAUAGUGGAGUUAAAAUGUCUGCUUCAUAAGCAGUCCUGAGAAUUAAUUGAGAUAGUGUACUUAAGAUGGAUCAAUUAAUAUAAAUGAAAAUUAUGUUGCUUGCCUUCAGAGGCCUUAAAAUCCAUUUUUAGAAGGUGGAUUAUUUACAGGG